AGGGUUUGAUUAUGGCUCAGGAUGAACGCUAGCUAUAGGCUUAACACAUGCAAGUCGAGGGGCAGCGAAUAGAUAGCUUGCUAUUUAUGUCGGCGACCGGCGCACGGGUGAGUAACGCGUAUCCAACCUGCCCAUAACUAAGGGAUAACCCAGCGAAAGUUGGACUAAUACCUUAUGUAUUCGUUUGAUCUCAUGAGAUUACGAAUAAAGAUUUAUCGGUUAUGGAUGGGGAUGCGUCUGAUUAGCUUGUUGGCGGGGUAACGGCCCACCAAGGCAACGAUCAGUAGGGGUUCUGAGAGGAAGGUCCCCCACAUUGGAACUGAGACACGGUCCAA
rnacentral:rRNA from 1 species